CACGAUAGCGAAGCCUGACCGAGCACGCCGCGUGAGCAUUGAAGGCCUUCGGGUCGUAAAGCUCUUUUGUUAAGGAAGAACAAGUACGAGAGUAACUGCUCGUACCUUGACGGUACUUAACGAGAAAGCCACGGCUAACUACGUGCCAGCAGCUGCGGUAAUACGUAGGUGGCGAGCGUUAUCCGGAAUUAUUGGGCGUAAAGCGCGCGCAGGGGGUUUCUUAAGUCUGAUGUGAAACCCCACUGCUGACUCGUGGAGGGUCAUUGGAAACUGGGAAACUUGAGUGCAGAAGAGGAAAGCGGAAUUCCACGUGUAGCGGUGAAAUGCGUAGAGAUGUGGAGGAACAACCAGUGGCGAAGGCGGCUUUCUGGUCUGUAACUGACGCUGAGGCGCGAAAGCGUGGGGGAGAAAACAGGAUUGGAUACCCUGGUAGUCCACGCCGUAAACAAUGAUUGCUAGGUGUUAGAGGGUUUCCGCCCUUUUAGGGCUGAAGUUAACGCAUUAAGCACUCCGCCUGGGGAGUACGGUCGCAAGAUUGAAACUAAAGGAUUGACGGGGGCCCGCACAAGCGGUGGAGCAUGUGUUUAAUUCGAAGCACGCAAAGACCUUACCAGUCUUGACAUCCUCUGAAAACCUUAGAGAUAGGGCUUCCCUUCGGGGACAGAUGACAGUGGUACAUGGUUGUCGUCAGCUCGUGUCGUGAGAUGUUGGUUAGUCCCGCAACGAGCGCACCUUGGACUUAGUGCAGCUUCAGUGGGCCUCUAGGUACUGCCGGGACAACGGAGAGGUGGGAUACUCAAUCAUCAUGCCCUUAUGACUGGGCUACACCUGCUAAAUGGACGGUACAAGGGCGCAGACCCAGUGACUAUUCAAAACGUCUCAGUUCGAUCUAGUGCACUCGCUUCUGAGCUGGAAUCCUAGAUCGGAUCGAUGCCGGUAAACUUCCGGCUUGACAACCCCGCCACCCGGGAGUUAAAC
rnacentral:rRNA from 1 species